rnacentral:rRNA from 1 species
GAUGAACGCUGGCGGCGUGCCUAAUACAUGCAAGUCGAGCGAACAGACGAGGAGCUUGCUCCUCUGACGUUAGCGGCGGACGGGUGAGUAACACGUGGAUAACCUACCUAUAAGACGGGGAUAACUUCGGGAAACCGGAGCUAAUACCGGAUAAUAUAUUGAACCGCAUGGUUCAAUAGUGAAAGACGGUUUUGCUGUCACUUAUAGAUGGAUCCGCGCCGCAGUAGCUAGUUGGUAAGGUAACGGCUUACCAAGGGGACGAUGCGUAGCCGACCUGAGAGGGGGAUCGGCCACACUGGAACUGGGACACGGACCAGACUCCUACGGGAGGCAGCAGUAGGGAAUCUUCCGCAGUGGGCGAAAGCCUGACGGAGCAACGCCGCGUGAGUGAUGAAGGUCUUCGGAUCGUAAAACUCUGUUAUUAGUGAAGAACAAAUGUGUAAGUAACUAUGCACGGCGUGACGGUAACUAAUCAGAAAGCCACGGCUAACUACGUG